GGGGACGAAAUGGUUUUGACAGGGUGCUUUAUCAUCUGCAAUGCAAGUCGCACUGAUGUUGUGCGUUACCAACAAUCAAAAAAAAUAAACGCUAAUAACGUUGUAAAAGCUGACUUUGCUCCUAGAGCAAUCGCUGCAUAGUUUGCGCGACAGCCACUCUAUCUUGCCAGCUUGCCGCAAUUUAGGGUCAAUUAUGCAAGCCUCGGCGUUUGUCGCUUGAGGUGCAAACGCUUGAGUAUCAAGCCUUAAGGGGUUGACUUUCCAUACAAAAAAGCCUUAGGUAAAAAAUAUAAGGUUUAUGGCAUUUUUCCUAUUUUUUGCCGAAAUUAAAAAAUCCUAAACUUGUAGAUUUGCAUUUGUUAUCAUUUUGGACGCGGGUUCGACUCCCGCCGUCUCCAGUA
rnacentral:tmRNA from 1 species